CUGAGUAUUUCCUCAACCCUUCCGCAGCCCGGGGGACUGGGGACACACCCCUCUGGUACACUCAGAUGACGGAUCGCCUGGGAGAGAAUGUCAGUGCUGUGGCCGUGUGGGAUGCCUUGAGUGAGCAGACCAGAGCCCUCGUGGAGGAAGUGGAGGCAGACUCUUACCAGGCGAAGAGCAGAGGAGAGGAGUCCAGUAAGUGUCUUCGCCAUCUGUCCGGAGUGAAGCUGAUGUUCCGCCACGCCAAGCACCACGCGGC